rnacentral:rRNA from 1 species
CGUAGGGGGCAAGCGUUGUCCGGAUUUAUUGGGCGUAAAGAGCGUGUAGGCGGCUUGGCAAGUCCGCUGUGAAAACUCGAGGCUUAACCUCGAGACGUCGGUGGAAACUGCCUGGCUAGAGUCCGGAAGAGGAGUGUGGAAUUCCUGGUGUAGCGGUGAAAUGCGCAGAUAUCAGGAAGAACACCUAUGGCGAAGGCAGCACUCUGGGACGGUACUGACGCUGAGACGCGAAAGCGUGGGGAGCGAACAGGAUUAGAUACCCUGGUAGUCCACGCCGUAAACGAUGGAUGCUAGGUGUGGGCGGUGUCGACUCCGUCCGUGCCGAAGCUAACGCAUUAAGCAUCCCGCCUGGGGAGCACGGCCGCAAGGCUA